rnacentral:rRNA from 1 species
UGUGGGUAGGGGUGAAAGGCCAAUCAAACUCCGUGAUAGCUGGUUCUCCCCGAAAUGCAUUUAGGUGCAGCGUCGCAUUGUGUGCUUGUUGGAGGUAGAGCUACUGGUUGGUUGAGCGGGACGAUAAUCUUAGCAACAUCAGCUAAACUCCGAAUGCCAGCAAUGUGGGUGCGGCAGUGAGACUGCGGGGGAUAAGCUCCGUUGGUCGAGAGGGAAACAGCCCAGAUCGUCGGUUAAGGCCCCUAAGGGUGUGCUCAGUGGGAAAGGAUGUGGGAUCGCGAAGACAGCCAGGAGGUUGGCUUAGAAGCAGCCAUCCUUGAAAGAGUGCGUAAUAGCUCACUGGUCGAGUGGUUCUGCGCCGAUAAUGUAGCGGGGCUUAAGUACACCGCCGAAACCGCGGCAACACAUGUAAAGUGUGUUGGGUAGGGGAGCGUCGUGCAUGUGUUGAAGCUACUUGGUGACAGGUGGUGGAGUGUGUGCGAGUGAGAAUGCAGGCAUGAGUAACGAUUGAUGUGUGAGAAACAUAUCCGCCGGAUGACUAAGGGUUCCUGGGUGAAGUUUGUCUUCCCAGGGUGAGUCGGGGCCUAAGGCGAGGCCGACAGGCGUAGUCGAUGGAUGACGGGUUGAUAUUCCCGUACCCGUGUGCGUGCGACAAGUGAUGAAUCUUAUGGUACUAACCGCCCGCUUACGUGCACUGGUCUUUUUGGUUGGUGUGUGUGGGUGCGUGGGAUCUUCGUGGGUAGUAGUCAAGUGAUGGGGUGACGCAGAGUGGUAGCUAGGCUUCCUUAUUGGAUUGGAGUGCAAGCGUGUGGCCUGUGGGGUUGGGAAAUCCGCCCCACACAUGAGGUGAGGCGUGAUGCGGACACCAUGUUGUGGUGGUAGUUAGUGUGCCUGUGCUGUCUAGAAAAGCCUCUAGCGAGUGCGUGCAUGGCCCGUACCGGAAACCGACACAGGUGGUCAGGUAGAGAAUACUAAGGCGUUCGGGUGAACUGUGGUUAAGGAACUCGGCAAAAUGCCCCCGUAACUUCGGGAGAAGGGGGACCAUUACUAGUUGCUGACAGCAUUAUAGCUGGUGGUGGUCGCAGAGGAGAGAGGGAAGCGACUGUUUAUUAAAAACACAGGUCCGUGCGAAAACGUGGAAGUUGAGGUAUACGGACUGACGCCUGCCCGGUGCUGGAAGGUUAAGAGGACCCGUGAGUGCGCCUUUAGUGUGUGCGAGGCGGAGAAUUGAAGCCCCAGUAAACGGCGGUGGUAACUAUAACCAUCCUAAGGUAGCGAAAUUCCUUGUCGGGUAAGUUCCGACCUGCACGAAUGGCGUAACGACUUCCCUGCUGUCUCAACCACAGGCCCGGUGAAAUUGCAGUACGAGUAAAGAUGCUCGUUUCGCGCGGCAGGACGAAAAGACCCCGGGACCUUUACUAUAGCUUGGUAUUGGUGUUUGGUCAUGCUUGUGUAGGAUAGGUGGGAGACUGUGAAACCAUGACGCUAGUUGUGGUGGAGUCGCAGGUGAAAUACCACUCUGGUGUGAUUGGGUACCUGAACCUUGGCCCGUGAUCCGGGUUGGGGACAGUGCCUGGUGGGUAGUUUAACUGGG